rnacentral:rRNA from 1 species
UACGUAGGGUGCAAGCGUUGUCCGGAAUUAUUGGGCGUACAGGGCUCGUAGGCGGUCCAUCACGUCGGGAGUGAAAAGCUGGGGCUUAACCCCAGUCCUGCUUCCGAUACGGGUGGACUAGAGGUAGGCAGGGGAGAACGGAAUUCCUGGUGUAGCGGUGAAAUGCGCAGAUAUCAGGAGGAACACCGGUGGCGAAGGCGGUUCUCUGGGCCUUACCUGACGCUGAGGAGCGAAAGCGUGGGGAGCAAACAGG